rnacentral:rRNA from 1 species
UACGUAGGGGGCAAGCGUUGUCCGGAUUCAUUGGGCGUAAAGGGCUCGUAGGCGGUUUGUCGCGUCGGGAGUGAAAAUCCAGGGCUUAACUCUGGACUGGCUUCCGAUACGGGCAGACUAGAGGUAUGCAGGGGAGAACGGAAUUCCUGGUGUAGCGGUGAAAUGCGCAGAUAUCAGGAAGAACACCUAUGGCGAAGGCAGGUCUCUGGGCCGAUACUGACGCUGAGGAGCGAAAGCGUGGGGAGCGAACAGG